rnacentral:lncRNA from 1 species
CUUCUUUAGUCCAUUAUCUUAUUUAUUCUCUUACUUUCCUUCCUUUUUCUAUUUAGUUAUUUCUUUAAUUAUUUUACUACUUUAUUACCAAAUGUCAUAGCAUAGUUUCUUCACAAAUCACUCAAAAAUCAAAAAUUAUAUCUCUUCCCGUAAAGAAGGAAUUUUAGUGGAAGAUUUGGGUACGAAUUUCAUUAAAAAAUCUGUUCAAGUUCAUAGGAGUCCCCAAAUAGGUAAAGAUUUUGAUUUUAUCGCGGGUUCCGCUUUCUUUGAUUUGAUAUAAUAAUUUUCAGAGAAACUCAAUCCCGUAAGUUUCUUUCCUUCUUGACAUGAUUUAGUAUUGCUUUAAUUAUAUUAUAGUUGAAUUUGAUAAAUAUUCAUAUACUUUUUAUAUGUAGAAAGAAUCACUUUUUCUCCCAAAGUUGUGGUCUCCGAUUUCUGCUAAUUGAUUCUCUCAAGUACUAAUUGUUAGCCUUAAUUUCUAUCCUUUUUACUUAGAGCAUUAAUAAUUUUUAGCUAUAAAUACUACUACUAUUAAGGCAAAGAAAAAGAAAAAAGAAAGAGGAGGAGGACUUUUGAUCAUUGCUCUUCAUCACUUCCAUAACUUUUCUUUUACUGUGAUAUACUCUGCAUUCACUGCUCUUCGGCUACUUCUUCGCUUAUUGCAAGCCAACGCAAAAUUUCUUUUCUUUUAUUUCACUCGACACAAGUGUUGCUCGAAAUUCUUAGAAGUUUUGGUGAUCUCGGAGCAUCGAGAUUUGAGUAUUGGUUUCUUGUCACUAUCAUUCGAGUUUUUUUCAUUGCAAUCACUGCGUAUUUCUGGAGUUUGUUUGGCAUAUUUACUGUUGUUGAAGCUCUGUCCGUGAAUCAUUAUUUAGAUUUCUAAUUUUCUUAUAAAUUUGGUACUCCACAAACCGGUUAGUUUCCUGAUGCCGCAUUAUGAUUCCUUUAUGUGUUGGUUGUUGUUAGAAUAGACUAGUCCUUCUCUUUAGUUUUGUAUUCUAUACACUCUUGGCCAUGACAAGAUAUCGAAUGCCAUGCGGCACUCUAUUGAAAUUAUGUCAAUAUAAUAACUAGGUACGUCUCUUAAAUUCAGGUGUGUUUUUGAUCUUUUGACUUUACGUGUGAGUUUUUGAAUAUGAGACGACCUGAUCAUAAAUGUCUUUAGGAUUUGUUCUGGCACCCUAGUAACUAGGAAAUAAUUUCUUUUAUUUAGGACUAAAGAUUGCAUAAAUAAAAGUAGCACCAACUUAUCUGCUAUGUUCAACGAUUUAGUGUAGGAAUUCUGCCUAAAAGAUUUUGAAUGAUAUUUGUAAGUUCCAUGAUCUUCAUUCUUUGAAUAGAGCUGAAUUCAUGUUGCAUAAGUAUCAUUUCAGUGAGUAUUUCUUAGUUAAUAAAAGGCGGCAUUGGAUUGUUAAAACUUCCUCCCUUAAACCUUAAGGUUGUUUGCCGGUCUUAUGUAGUUAAAACUACCCUGCCUAAAUCAGUGCACUUGUUUUGACACUUAGACACCAUGUUUAGGAUAAACUGGCCUAAUAUACUGCAUUUCCAGUUGUGGAUAGUAUGUCGGAAGCUAAGAAUUAUAUUUGUUUGCUUUGUUGGCUAUAACAUUACUGCCAUGAUGUUCUUAAACACGGAUACCAUGUCCUUAGGAUUUUAAUUCAUCUAGAUAUUCAGUCUAUGGAUAAAGCAUCCAGAUAACUUGUUAUCCAAUAAUGCUUGUACUUUAUUUUGUUUGAGUAAUUAUUUAUUUGAUUUGAACACUAGAGGUGCUCUAUUUAGAAACUAAUAGUAAGAGAAGUCAACAACUUCGUUGGUGUUAUUGGCUAGCGAGUUGUAUUUUUCAGCAUGUUCUUUAUCUUUACAUGACUAAAUUACAAAUCGUUUGAACCAAAUACUUGAAGUUAUAUUAUUUGGAAGUAACGAGUUAAAUUUAUUUUUGCGAUAAUUCGAUCACCAUGUGCGCUGCAUAUGUGUUCUGGUUAGGCUAUGAUGUUACAGGAUGGCCUAAUUCGAGCAUUGAGCGAGGAUUUGGAGUCGCCUGGGAAAGGGAAGGUUUAAGAAUUAUUGUGUUGGAAUUUACUUUGUGCCUGAAGCUCAUUAGUUUAGCUUGUGUUGUAAUGUUGGCCUUAUAGUGCUACAAAUAAUCUGUAAUUGUGUAAAAGGGAUGAUUGGGGCUGAAACUUGUUUGUCACUUGUUGCUGCUAUAUGCUAUUUGCUAUUGUGGUUUGUUUCUAUUUUUACUAAUCAUUGAAG